CAUCUGCUGUGAAUGAAUCAAAAUUAUACAAUUUUUGGUCAGAUCAGCGAAAAAUGUCUAUUUUUUGUGUGUCACAGAACUUUAGUAAUCCGUUGAUGUGUGCCAUGAGGUGAAAAAGGUUGAAAAUCGCUGGCCUAUAUUAAUACAU